rnacentral:rRNA from 1 species
CCGCGGUAAGACAGAGGGUGCAAACGUUGUUCGGAAUUACUGGGCGUAAAGCGUGCGCAGGCGGCUUUGCAAGACGGAAGUGAAAUCCCCGGGCUCAACCUGGGAACUGCAUUCGUGACUGCAGGGCUGGAGUACGGCAGAGGGGGAUGGAAUUCCGCGUGUAGCAGUGAAAUGCGUAGAUAUGCGGAGGAACACCGAUGGCGAAGGCAGUCCCCUGGGCCUGUACUGACGCUCAUGCACGAAAGCGUGGGGAGCAAACAGG